rnacentral:rRNA from 1 species
GAUGAACGCUGGCGGCGUGCCUAAUACAUGCAAGUCGAGCGAACAGACGAGGAGCUUGCUCCUCUGACGUUAGCGGCGGACGGGUGAGUAACACGUGGAUAACCUACCUAUAAGACUGGGAUAACUUCGGGAAACCGGAGCUAAUACCGGAUAACAUGUUGAACCGCAUGGUUCAACAGUGAAAGACGGUUUUGCUGUCGCUUAUAGAUGGAUCCGCGUCGCAUUAGCUAGUUGGUAAGGUAACGGCUUACCAAGGCAACGAUGCGUAGCCGACCUGAGAGGGUGAUCGGCCACACUGGAACUGAGACACGGUCCAGACUCCUACGGGAGGCAGCAGUAGGGAAUCUUCCGCAAUGGGCGAAAGCCUGACGGAGCAACGCCGCGUGAGUGAAGAAGGUCUUCGGAUCGUAAAACUCUGUUAUUAGGGAAGAACAAAUGUGUAAGUAACUAUGCACGUCUUGACGGUACCUAAUCAGAAAGCCACGGCUAACUACGUG